CUAUAUAGAAGGUAUAAUUUAAGGCCUUACUAACUACACAUCUGUUUUCUCUAUUUACAGCAUGGUGACAAGAAGGCAAGUGGAGAUUCUUCCAAGCCAGGAGAGAAAAAAGCAGAAGUGACAGAGGAAAAACAAGCAACUGCUAAUGUCAGCCAACCCCCCAAAACACAGACAAGGGGAGCACCUUCUGCUGCUAAGCAGUCUCCCUCUGCGGAUGCAUCAAAACCACAGAUUAUGAAGCCAUCUGAAACCAGGUCAGCACUGACAACCAAAGCAGGAUCUGAAAAAACCACCCAGUCAGCCAAGGUAAGUACUUAACUUUCACUUUUGCAGAGUUGUUGUACUUUGGUCUUUUACUAACUUAGAGGC
rnacentral:lncRNA from 1 species